rnacentral:sRNA from 1 species
CACUAGUGGAGGGUUGGCGCCACUCUCCUGAUGAGUCCAAGGCAUGACGAAACCAGUG